rnacentral:rRNA from 1 species
GAUGAACGCUGGCGGCGUGCCUAAUACAUGCAAGUCGAGCGCAAAGAUCAGGAGCUUGCUCCUGUGAUUUGAGCGGCGGACGGGUGAGUAACACGUAGGCAACCUACCCUUGAGAUUGGGAUAACUACCGGAAACGGUAGCUAAUACCGGAUACGACCUUUCCACACAAGUGGAAUUGUUAAAAGGCGGAUUUAUCUGCCACUCAUGGAUGGGCCUGCGGUGCAUUAGCUAGUUGGUGAGAUAGUAGCUCACCAAGGCAACGAUGCAUAGCCGACCUGAGAGGGUGAUCGGCCACACUGGGACUGAGACACGGCCCAGACUCCUACGGGAGGCAGCAGUAGGGAAUCUUCCGCAAUGGACGAAAGUCUGACGGAGCAACGCCGCGUGAGUGAUGAAGGGUUUCGGCUCGUAAAACUCUGUUGUUAAGGAAGAAUACUUGAGGUAGUAACUGGCCUUGAGAUGACGGUACUUAACCAGAAAGCCACGGCUAACUACGUGCCAGCAGCCGCGGUAAUACGUAGGUGGCAAGCGUUAUCCGGAAUUAUUGGGCGUAAAGCGCGCGUAGGCGGUAAAAUAAGUCUGAUGUGAAAGCCCCCGGCUCAACCGGGGAGGGUCAUUGGAAACUGUUUUACUUGAGUACAGAAGAGGAGAGUGGAAUUCCAUGUGUAGCGGUGAAAUGCGCAGAGAUAUGGAGGAACACCAGUGGCGAAGGCGGCUCUCUGGUCUGUUACUGACGCUGAGGUGCG